rnacentral:rRNA from 1 species
UACGUAGGGUCCAAGCGUUGUCCGGAUUUAUUGGGCGUAAAGAGCGUGUAGGCGGUCAGGUAGGUCAGUUGUGAAAACUGGAGGCUCAACCUUCAGACGUCGACUGAAACCCCUCUGGCUAGAGUCCGGGGAGAGGAGAGUGGAAUUCCUGGUGUGCGGUGGAAUGCGCAGAUAUCAGGAAGAACACCCUGGCGAAAAGCGGCUCUCUGGGAAACGGGUACUGACGCUAGACGCGAAAAAGCUGGGGGGGAGCGAAACAGGGAUU